UUUAAUGUCCGCCUGUGUAACAAAAACAUCUCUUCUUGUUGUGUUGAUUUGAAGUAUGGCCUGCCCGCUGAGGUUGUUGAAGGGCCGCGGUAUUUUGACCGUGCAAAGGUAGCAUAAUCAUUAGCUUUUUAAUUGUGAGAGG